rnacentral:lncRNA from 1 species
AAGCGGAGCGCGCGCUCCACGCGGGACCGCCUCCCGGGCCGUAAGUACCGGCGUGGCGGCGCCUCAGCCCGGCCUGGGCGAGCCCUGGGUGCUCCGCCGGGCAGCUCACGGCGCCCCGUAUGGCCUGGGGAUCCUAAGAGGCCCUGUGACCCCCCUCGCCUGGUCUCCCUCUCACCCCUGGAGGGUUGCCGCAGCUCCGGGGCCCCCGGGCAGGAAGGGCGCACUGGUCGUCCCGGGAGAGGGGUCUGAGCAGAGGGCGGGGUGCAGGCGGAAUGGCCCUCGUGCCCUAUGAGGAGACCACGGAAUUUGGGUUGCAGAAAUUCCACAAGCCUCUUGCAACUUUUUCCUUUGCAAACCACACGAUCCAGAUCCGGCAGGACUGGAGACACCUGGGAGUCGCAGCGGUGGUUUGGGAUGCGGCCAUCGUUCUUUCCACAUACCUGGAGAUGGGAGCUGUGGAGCUCAGGGGCCGCUCUGCCGUGGAGCUGGGUGCUGGCACGGGGCUGGUGGGCAUAGUGGCUGCCCUGCUGGAAAACACUGGACAAAUGCAAACUGAGGGAUAUUCUAAAAGAAAACAGAUCACUACUCUUCAAAAGUUACAAGGCCAUCAAAGACAAGGAAACAAACUUUCACAGACUGAAGGAGACUAUAAUUAAAUGCGAUAUGGUACCCAAACUGGAUUAUGUAAGUAAAAAAACUGGGGAAAUAAAAUGUAUAAUUCAGUUAAUGGUAUUAUACCAAUGUACUUUUAUUUUUGAUAAAUGUACCCUGGUUAUGUAAUAUACUAAGAUUAGAGAAAGCUGGAUGAAGGGUAUCCGGAACUCUGUAUUUUUAAAACUCCUUUGUAAGUUUAAAAUUACUUAAAAAUAUAUUAAAAAUGUAUAUUUACCUUUGUACUGGUUUGAGUAAAAAAACUGACUUUAGAAUGUUAACAUUUUAGAUGGUGAAAUUAGAAGUAAUUCAAUUUUUAGGUAAUGUUUCUUAAUUUACUUAUAAUGAACAUGUUUUACUUGUGUAAUAAUAAAUUUAAAAAACCUGAUAGUAAUGUAA